ACGAACGCUGGCGGCGUGCUUAACACAUGCAAGUCGAACGGUGAUGGGUGCUUGCACCUUGAUCAGUGGCGAACGGGUGAGUAACACGUGAGCAACCUGCCCCCGACUCUGGGAUAACCCCGGGAAACCGGAGCUAAUACUGGAUAUGAGACGUACAGGCAUCUGUCGCGUCUGGAAAGAAUUUCGGUCGGGGAUGGGCUCGCGGCCUAUCAGCUUGUUGGUGGGGUAAUGGCCUACCAAGGCGACGACGGGUAGCCGGCCUGGGAGGGCGACCGGCCACACUGGGACUGAGACACGGCCCAGACUCCUACGGGAGGCAGCAGUGGGGAAUAUUGCACAAUGGGCGCAAGCCUGAUGCAGCGACGCCGCGUGAGGGAUGACGGCCUUCGGGUUGUAAACCUCUUUCAGCAGGGAAGAAGCGCAAGUGACGGUACCUGCAGAAGAAGCGCCGGCUAACUACGU
rnacentral:rRNA from 1 species